rnacentral:rRNA from 1 species
CACGUAGGGGCCUAGCGUUGUCCGGAAUUAUUGGGCGUAAAGAGCUCGUAGGCGGUUCGGCAAGUCGGAUGUGAAAUCUCCACGCUUAACGUGGAGGGGCCAUUCGAAACUGCUGUGACUCGAGUCCGGUAGGGGAGUGUGGAAUUCCCGGUGUAGCGGUGAAAUGCGUAGAGAUCGGGAGGAAGGCCGGUGGCGAAGGCGGCGCUCUGGAACAUUUCUGACGCUGAGGCUCGAAAGCGUGGGGAG